GACAGAGGGUGCAAACGUUGCUCGGAAUUACUGGGCGUAAAGCGCACGUAGGCGGCUUCUUAAGUCAGGGGUGAAAUCCUGGAGCUCAACUCCAGAACUGCCUUUGAUACUGAGAAGCUUGAGUUCGGGAGAGGUGAGUGGAACUGCGAGUGUAGAGGUGAAAUUCGUAGAUAUUCGCAAGAACACCAGUGGCGAAGGCGGCUCACUGGCCCGAUACUGACGCUGAGGUGCGAAAGCGUGGGGAGCAAACAGG
rnacentral:rRNA from 1 species